GCCUGUGAAGGGAUAUCCGUGAGGGGUCCUGGAGGUAUCGGAAGUGCGAAUGCUGACAUGAGUAACGACAAAGAGUGUGAAAGACACUCUCGCCGAAAGUCCAAGGGUUCCUGCGUAAAGUUAAUCUGCGCAGGGUUAGCCGGCCCCUAAGGCGAGGCCGAAAGGCGUAGUCGAUGGGAACCACGCGAACAUUCGUGGGCCA
rnacentral:rRNA from 15 species